rnacentral:tRNA from 1 species
UCGGGGGUAGCUCAAUGGCAGAGCGAGGCGCUGUUAACGCCUAGGUUGUGGGUUCGAGUCCCACCCCCCGAG